CCAGACUCCUACGGGAGGCAGCAGUGAGGAAUAUUGGUCAAUGGGCGGAAGCCUGAACCAGCCAAGUCGCGUGAGGGAUUAAGGCCCUGCGGGUCGUAAACCUCUUUUGCCGGGGAGCAGAGGUCCGGACGUGUCCGGGCCGGGAGAGUACCCGGAGAAAAAGCAUCGGCUAACUCCGUGCCAGCAGCCGCGGUAAUACGGAGGAUGCGAGCGUUAUCCGGAUUUACUGGGUGUAAAGGGAGCGUAGACGGCAGUGCAAGUCCGGAGUGAAAGCCCGGGGCUCAACCCUGGGACUGCUCUGGAAACUGUAAAGCUGGAGUGCGGGAGGGGCAGGCGGAAUUCCUGGUGUAGCGGUGAAAUGCGUAGAUAUCAGGAGGAACACCGGCGGCGAAGGCGGCCUGCUGGACCGUAACUGACGUUGAGGCUCGAAAGCGUGGGGAGCAAACAGGAUUAGAUACCCCCGUA
rnacentral:rRNA from 1 species